CCUACGGGUGGCUGCAGUGGGGAAUAUUGCACAAUGGGGGAAACCCUGAUGCAGCGACGCCGCGUGAGUGAAGAAGUAUUUCGGUAUGUAAAGCUCUAUCAGCAGGGAAGAAAUACUGACCUUACGGUCAGCAGACGGUACCUGACUAAGAAGCCCCGGCUAACUACGUGCCAGCAGCCGCGGUAAUACGUAGGGGGCAAGCGUUAUCCGGGUUUACUGGGGGGAAAGGGGGCGUAGACGGCAGCGCAAGUCUGAGGGGAAAUCCCAUGGCUUAACCAUGGAACUGCUUUGGAAAAUGUGCAGCUGGAGUGCAGGAGAGGUAAGCGGAAUUCGUGGUGUAGCGGUGAAAUGCGUAGAUAUUAGGAAGAACACCAGUGGCGAAGGCGGCUUACUGGACUGUAACUGACGUUGAGGCUCGAAAGCGUGGGGAGCAAACAGGAUUAGAUACCCUAGUAGUC
rnacentral:rRNA from 1 species